GUCAACAGGCUAAGAAUGGAAUUACAGUGUUGGCUGGGGUGAUUGACCCAGACUAUCAAGAUGAAAUUAGUCUACUACUCCACAAUGGAGCUGACUGAUGAAUAAGAAAAGACUGAAAGGAAAAGGAACUAUGGGCUGCCUCAUCUUUCUACUUCCUUCUAUGUCAUCAUUUUCAGCACAAGUAAUUGGCAAAUACAGGGAAGUAACACAAAUAAAAAAGGAUAGGUAGAA